rnacentral:rRNA from 1 species
CCCUUAGAUGUCCGGGGCCGCACGCGCGCUACACUGAAGGAAUCAGCGUGGCUUUCUCCCUGACCCGAAAGGGUUGGGAAACCCGUUGAAUCUCCUUCGUGAUAGGGAUUGGGGCUUGAAAUUGUUCCCCAUGAACGAGGAAUUCCCAGUAAGCGCGAGUCAUAAGCUCGCGUUGAUUACGUCCCUGCCCUUUGUACACACCGCCCGUCGCUACUGCCGACUGAGAUGUGGGUCCCAAAGUGUUAGGAUUGCCCCGCUGCGAGGCCUACCCGGCCCCGAUUGCGGUCACGGCAAGAAUAUCAUUAAGUGGAAUGUCUUGUAGGGAGUAAAAGUCGUAACA